rnacentral:rRNA from 1 species
AUUGAACGCUGGCGGCAGGCCUAACACAUGCAAGUCGAACGGUAACAGGAAACAGCUUGCUGUUUCGCUGACGAGUGGCGGACGGGUGAGUAAUGUCUGGGAAACUGCCUGAUGGAGGGGGAUAACUACUGGAAACGGUAGCUAAUACCGCAUAACGUCGCAAGACCAAAGAGGGGGACCUUCGGGCCUCUUGCCAUCGGAUGGGCCCAGAUGGGAUUCGCUAGUAGGUGAGGUAACGGCUCACCUAGGCGACGAUCCCUAGCUGGUCUGAGAGGAUGACCAGCCACACUUGCACGGAGACACGGUCCAGACGCCUACGGGAGGCAGCAGUGGGGAAUAUUGCACAAUGGGAGCAAGCCUGAUGCAGCCAUGCCGCGUGUAUGAAGAAGGCCUUCGGGUUGUAAAGUACUUUCAGCGGGGAGGAAGGGAGUAAAGUUAAUACCUUUGCUCAUUGACGUUACCCGCAGAAGAAGCACCGGCUAACUCCGUGCCAGCCGCCGCCGUAA